rnacentral:rRNA from 1 species
UACAGAGGUCUCAGCAGUGUCUGCUCGGAAUCACUGGGCGUAAAGGGUGCGUAGGCGGGUCUUUAAGUCAGGGGUGAAAUCCUGGAGCUCAACUCCAGAACUGCCUUUGAUACUGAGGAUCUUGAGUUCGGGAGAGGUGAGUGGAACUGCGAGUGUAGAGGUGAAAUUCGUAGAUAUUCGCAAGAACACCAGUGGCGAAGGCGGCUCACUGGCCCGAUACUGACGCUGAGGCACGAAAGCGUGGGGAGCCAACAGG